CCCUGCAGGAAGGGACUGGGGAAGAAGGCUGAAAUCUGACCCAGCCUAGCCCCAUCUCUUGGGCAUUACCUGCGUCUCUGUGUUCAGGUGAUCAUUGCUUGCAGCUGGGCACAAGGUGCCUGUUGAGCGAGAUGCAGGAGACCUGCGAGGAGGGGUGGGGAGGCCCAGCUGUGCUCCGUGGAGGAAGAUCACGCCGUGCGGCUGAGCCCCCAGGGGAAUUGAGGCGCUGUACCUAAGAGCUUAGAUGGGCUCUGGGGUGCCAGGCGGAAGCCUGAAGCAGAGGAGGUGACAUGAACCCUGAGGAUGCAACAGUCACCGACAGGCAACUAGCCGGGCAGAGUGAAGCACAGGGGGCGUGGGCUGGGGGUCCGGGGAAGAGGACGCGGGAGGAGCCCCUCCCAGGAGCCAGGGUCCUGCAGGCAUCUCACCUCCCCCGCGAUGGAUGGAGCGGACCUGCCCACUGGAGGAGGAGGACAUGCUGGUCCUAUUACCGACUUUACAUCUGGAAAACAGACUUGAGAAUAAUAAUUCUCUGUGCUUUAUCAACACGUGAGUUCACAGCGGCAGGCCCAGAAUGCAGGCAGUUUACUUUAUGCAUUUGAAGACAUUUCUACGGCAAAUCUGUGGCUUUGCCACAGAGAAGUUUCCCCGAAGCUGCGCGUUAGAGGAGACGACCUCCAGGUGGGAGCUGGGGCGCG